GACGAACGCUGGCGGCGUGCUUAACACAUGCAAGUCGAACGGAGUGGCGAACGGGUGAGUAAAACGUGGGUGAUCUGCCUUGCACUUCGGGAUAAGCUUGGGAAACUGGGUCUAAUACCGGAUAGUGCAAGAUGAGCUCGAGGCCUAUCAGCUUGUUGGUGGGGUAAUGGCCUACCAAGGCGUCGACGGGUAGCCGGCCUGAGAGGGGGUAAGGACACAUGGGGACUGAGAUACGGCCCAGACUCCUACGGGAGGCAGCGGUGGAGAAGAUUGCACAAUGGGAGGAAGCCUGAUGCGGCGCCGCCGCGUGGGGGAUGAAGGCCUUGGGGUUGUAAACUCCUGUCGACAGGGACGCGGUACCUGUAUAAGAAGCACCGGCUAACUACGUGCCAGCAGCCGCGGUAAUUC
rnacentral:rRNA from 1 species